GUCUUAAUAUUCCUAAACAGUUUUUUCUAUUUUAAUGCACUUAUUUGAUAUGGAUGCUGCUCAACUUGUUGUUUAUCUCUCGCUCUACAUGUAUUAUCUGUAUGUUGAAUAAAGUUUCUUUAAUAAUAAUAAGAAAACUGCCUUAAAAGGGGAGGGGUUUAAACAGAAUCAACUCAGUGACUGAUGCAAUAAGUUGUUGGCUAGUUGCACAUUGACUUCUCGUCGUUCAGGAGUGACGCAGUCUUCAAGUGAAGACCUCCUCGUGGAGAGUGUCAAUGAGUGUCAGCAGUCUUCCCCAUGACUGUGAAGCCUGCUGGACCAGAUUGAGACCAUUUAAAGGCUCAGGAAACCUUUGCAGGUGCUGUGAGUCAGCUUGUGGAGGUACGAGUCCAUCCUGCUGAAACCUCUCCGUGGGAGGACCAGGACAUCCUGAUGGAAGCUCAGAGACUGUACAGGUUACGACAUCCUCUGUCCUUAGACCCUCUGUCCUUAGACCCUCUGUCCUC